CCCUCGGGAGCCAACGGCUCACUUCCUCCCUCCAGCCCCGAGCAUCAGGAUUGUGUAUCAUGUUUGGCGGUGCUCAGGUGUCCACGAGGCGGGAGAGGAGGAGGAGGA
rnacentral:sRNA from 1 species